UACGUAGGGGGCAAGCGUUGUCCGGAAUCAUUGGGCGUAAAGCGCGCGUAGGCGGCCCGGUAAGUCCGUUGUGAAAGUCAAAGGCUCAACCUUUGAACGCCGAUGGAUACUGCCGGGCUAGAGUCCGGAAGAGGCGAGUGGAAUUCCUGAUGUAGCGGUGGAAUGCGCAGAUAUCAGGAGGAACACCAAUAGCGAAGGCAGCUCGCUGGGACGGUACUGACGCUGAGGCGCGAAAGCGUGGGGAGCGAACAGG
rnacentral:rRNA from 1 species